AAUCUGUGGCUCAGUGGCAGAGUUCCUGCCUUGCAUGCAGAAGGCCCCUGGUUCAAUCCCCAGCAGUUCCAGGUAGGGCUA